GUAUCUGAAGCCUGACGAGGAUGAGAACCUCCGGGGGCAAGAGGUUCGACCCGAGCGAAGCGAGAAAACGUUGCGUCAGCAACGGCCCGCAGUGGCAAGUCAUCCUCUGUCACCGGCAG
rnacentral:sRNA from 3 species